UCCUACGGGAGGCAGCAGCAAGGAAUUUUGCGCAAUGGGCGAAAGCCUGACGCAGCAACACCGCGUGAGGGAAGAAGGCCUUCGGGUUGUAAACCUCUUUUCUCAGGGAAGAAUAAUGACGGUACCUGGGGAAUAAGUCACGGCUAACUACGUGCCAGCAGCUGCGGUAAUACGUAGGUGGCAAGCGUUAUCCGGAUUCACUGGGCGUAAAGAGCGCGUAGGUGGUCCUUCAAGUCAGAUGUUAGAUCUCCCGGCUUAACUGGGAGCUGUCAUUUGAUACUGCUGGACUUGAGGAUGGUAGAGGGAGGUGGAAUUCCCGGUGUAGUGGUGAAAUGCGUAGAUAUCGGGAGGAACACCAGUGGCGAAAGCGGCCUCCUGGGCCAUUCCUGACACUGAGGCGCGAAAGCGUGGGGAGCGAACAGGAUCAGAUACCCUGGUAGUCCACGCCCUAAACUGUGGAAACUAGGUACAGGGAGUAUCGACCCUUCCUGCGCCGUAGCUAACGCGUUAAGUUUCCCGCCUGGGGACUACGGUCGCAAGACUAAAACUCAAAGGAAUUGACGGA
rnacentral:rRNA from 1 species